CUGCAUCACUGCUUGUUCAGCGGGCUACUCCGCGGGGCUCGCGUCCAGUUACUAUGUGCCCAGAUGUAAAGGCAGCAGUCGCUUGAAAGUCACCCAUCUGCAGUGGCAGUGUGUCUUUCCUGAUUCCAGGUGCUAAGAACGCUCAAGCCAUGGAGAGAGAUGCAUUUGGAGUUGUUUACAUUCAGACAAAGCUCAUCUGGUUGUUUGCAGCUAGUCACAAGCAUGAAAAUAGCCUGCUGAAAGAAUUCACUUUGAAAAUGCCACAAAACAGACAAUGGAAAAAUGAGGGUCAUCAGAACUACAUCUUCCUAAGAGGGAAAGAAACACCCAAUAACAUCUUGGCAGGUGCUGCAUAAUCAUGCCUCAAAUGACUUUCUGAAGAUAAAAAGAAAGUGGUACUUGCUUGCAUAACUGAACAUAUCUGCCUGAGUUGUUUUCCUACAGAUGUUAUCCUGGGAAUAGAAACAAAAUUGUUCAUUCCCUAGCAGCCUUCAAGAAGCACUGUGAUCUAGGGCAGCACAGAGCCAGCAAUGAGAGACAGAAUGACAUUCACAAUUCUAGAAGAAAACACUGGAGUGGAAUAUACACAGAAUGGCUGUUUGGUCUCAAGACUGCAUGAAUUAUUAUCCGGCUAUGCUGGAUGUUCUAAUUCCUUUCUCUCAGAGGACUGUAGGUAGAUACAUAUGCUGACUACAUAUGUGGAUAACACUGUCGAA
rnacentral:lncRNA from 1 species